GCGAAAAAUAGGGGAUGGAAAUGUCCCAUUAGCAUCUGACGGCAGCUCAGAGGCACGGUGGAGGACGAGACGGUGUGCCCAGGUUUUGCAACGGGAAACACCGGCCCCGCCGAGAUCGAGAUCGGACGGUGCAGAUUACGUAGGAGGCGCAGGCAACCUGCCCAACCCUAACCGGGAGCCUAUAAAUACAAAAGAAAUCCUCCUUCCUAACCACCCAGCAAACCCAGCCGCCAGACCCACUAUCUCUCUUCCCCCCAUCUUUCCCUCCUAUGCAUCUCCGCCUCUCCUUCUCGAUUCGGCACGAGCUUCGCUUCGAUUUGCUUUUAUUUUCUCUCGCCCUGCUCGUUCUCCGAUGAUGACCCAAAUAAUACUUUCGUUCUUCUGAAAUUCACAAUGUGGAAGAACUGGAGACCUGAACUGAGGAGACUGCAUCUGGUUGCCGUUUGAUUUUUCUGUACGUAUUUUGUUUUCUUUUCCUUCCCAUGGAUCGGGGUUGGUUGUUCGCGGAUCCCGGUGAUGACCUGUGAUGUUAAAGUAGUGGCCUGAUUCAUACAUUGAUGAGAUCCAUAUUAUCACCCAGAGGGAUCUGAGCCAAGAAGCAACCCGACAUUGUUGCUCGUCUGGGGUUCUCGUUUUUGCUAUUUGCUUGAGAAGUUUUGGACUACUUUUCGCCCUCCCGAUGACUGGACAAAAUUUAAGUUUCAGCCUUGUCUGAAAAAUACCAAUCUGUUGAUACAUCUAUGCAAAUGUUUCUGAGGGACCAUCUCUUUUCGAGAUUCUGUUUUUGUUUUAUCUUGUGCUAGAUCUAAUGCCUAAAGCUGUCCGAUGAUGAUGAAACUAAAUACUUUCGUUCUUCUGAUGCGCUAUCUCAUGGCGCGGUGUGGAAGCAAUUUGGAGACCUGAACUGAGGAAAAGCUUAUUAUAUCGGUGCAUUUCAAAUUUUUCCGCUUGCAUUUUGCGUUUGAAAAACUGUUUUGUGUUUGUUGCUUCACACCUGGAAGGAUGGCCUGUUGAUAUCAGUCUGGUCAUCCCGUAGAGGGAAGCAUAGACGGACGGAAACACCGGCCAGCAUUAAACAGCACGACGCAAAAUCAAACUGUGUCGUGUUACCUGUCUUCUGGUACAUCUCAACACAAAUUUGCAUGUUUUUGUUUCAUGAGAUUCGUGUUGCCCCUGCAUGCGGCUCGGAGGUGGGAGGUGGUUGGCUGGUUGUUUGAGCAAUCAUGUCAGUUUUGUCAGCCGCUUGUGUCGAGGAGAUGCCCCUGCAUACAGCUUGGAGGUGGGCGGUGGUUGGCUGGUGGGUGAAAUGAAAUCGAGGAGGGACCUCGGUGGCGGUGCUGGAUGUGAUAGAAAUCUAGAAUAUAGGCUCUCUAAAUUCUGUGAUUUCUGUCCUGUCCGCCGCCGCUCACAUCUCCCUCUGCGCCUGUCAUCCCUCCCUUCUCGAUUUUAGGCCACGGCCAACAACCUCUGUCUCCCAGCUGUCUCAUCUGGAUCCAACUCAUGGUGGAAUAAAGCUUGCUUGACAGUUCAUGCGAAUCAGUGUUAUCAAAUUGCUGCUUGAUCUGUAAUUCGGUUCAUUCUGUGGUUACUUUACUUUGUGUGAGCAAUCAAAGUUAGUUUUGUCCGGUGAUGAAGUGAUUUGGAGACCUGAACUGAGGAAGGGCUGUAUGAAUUGAGUUUUUAUCAAAUUUGCUUCAUAAAUGUUAAUGGCUUGUUAGCAGUUU